UAUGAACCUUCGAUUCUAAAAUUUAAAUUCUUCUACAUUGAAUGUAUAGCUGCAGCAAUAAAUUUGGAUCAGUCUUUCUACUCCCUGCAUCUACGUUGAGCAGGUAUCUUUAGGUAACUGCACAUUACCUAACCUAAUUUAUUGAAAAGAGUGCUUAUUAUAAAUCAAUUCUUGCAAUUUUUUUCAAAAAUUGAUU
rnacentral:sRNA from 1 species